GGUUGGAUCAUUACCGUUCACCCCGUUGCGCUGGGGGACUGCUGGGCACGCAAGUGCUCGGCAGUGAACAGAGCAAGCCGUGAGCAAUUGCCCCUUCGCGGGGGCAAGAGCAAUCGGUUAAACCUUGUGGAACUAUCCUGCCUGUUUAUAAACCUCUUAACCUGAUCCCUGACGAAGGGAAAGUCAACCUCGCUGGGGGGGACCCCUGCACCAAACUUUAACAACCAUCAGCGGUGGAUGUCUCGGCUACCUAAUCGAUGACGAGCGUAGCAAAUUGCGAUAACUAUUGUGAAUUGCAGAGUAUGCGAAUCAUCGAGUCCUCGAACGCACUGCGCCUUGGGGCUUCGGCUCCUCGGCAUACCUGGUUCAGUGUCGAAUGCAUCUGCAAGCAACCUGCUCACGCUCGCUACACCAAGCGAGCCGGCGUAUGGUGAUUGUAGCGCAAGCUACUCGCACCACCAAGUCUUGCGAAUGGUGAUUGUAGCGCAAGCUACUCGCACCUAAGUUCACAGUCCGGAGGUUCCAGCCAAAGCAUGGGUGGGCGGAUCAAUGGCUUGACCUGAGAUCUUAACACUCUAGCGAGAACGCUGCCCCUCCAUCAAGGACUCUCAAGUAACCCUAUAGACCUGAGCUCAGGUAUGACUACCCCGGGGAUUUAAGCAUAUCAAUACCGGGAGGAAAAGAAACUAACUAGGAUUCCCUUAGUAACUGCGAGUGAAGCGGGAAGAGCUCAAGCCCAAAUCUGGUGACCUCCGGGUCAUCCGAAUUGUAGUUUUGUGAACGGAGCCUGGUUGGCGUGCUCGCUUAAGUCUGUUGGAACACAGCGCCAUAGAGGGUGACAGCCCCGUUGGUGAGCACUGCUGGCCGUCAAGGUUCUAGUUCGGAGAGUCGCACUAUCUGGGAGCAUAGUGCUAAUAUGGGUGGUAGACUCCAUCUAAAGCUAAAUACUGGUAGGUAGUCCGAUAGUGCACAAGUACCGUGAGGGAAAGAUGCAAAGAACUCUGGAGAGAGAGUUAAAAGUACCUGAAACCGCUGUUGGGGAAGCGGUUGGCCGAGCAGUUCGGAAUCCACGGAUCACUCAGUCGAAGGUCGAGUGCUGGGGCUGGCGAAUAGCUUAACGCUAUCGGCGGUUCUGGUUGCGAGAUUUUCCUCUGGGGCACUCUGUGGGUCUGAGUAGUACCGACUAGGUGGGUGUAAGUAAACACUCAGGAGGACGCACCCCUGCGGGGUGUUGAUUCCUGAGUGCCCUUGCAUCUGUCUAGUCGAGGUUCAAUCCUACUAUCUGGUGGCACUAGCCGUGCUCUUAGGGGACCUCUAGGGAUCCGCUGUUAUCACUGCUUGCAGUGGUGGUGGUGUGGUUCUGUGACUUACUCUAAGGCGCAACCAGGUCAGGGUAUUACAUGCGGAGUCAACUGUCCCGUCUUGAAACACGGACCAAGGAGUCUAACGUCCGGGCGAGUCGAAGAGUGAAAAACUCUACGGCGCAGCGAAAGCGUAGGGAUGCAAGGGUGAGCUCGUCUUACCCCGCCCAUCCGUUCUCACCCAAGGCUUGCCGAGGGUUGGGAAAAGGAGCCUGUCCGUUAGGACCCGAAAGAGAGCGAACUAUGCCUGUAUAGGUCGAAGCCAGAAGAAAUUCUGGUGGAGGAUCGUAGCGAUACUGACGUGCAAAUCGUUCGUCAAAUAUGGGUAUAGCGGCGAAAGACUAAUCGAGCUCUCUAGUAGCUGGUUCCCUC
rnacentral:misc_RNA from 1 species